rnacentral:tRNA from 1 species
AGAAGUGUGCCCGAGAGUCAGGGGAUAUUUUGAUGGAAUAGACACAGAGACGCCCUCUCACUUCU